CCUACGGGGGGCUGCAGUGGGGAAUAUUGGGCAAUGGGCGCAAGCCUGACCCAGCAACGCCGCGUGAAGGAAGAAGGCUUUCGGGUUGUAAACUUCUUUUCUCAGGGACGAAGAAAGUGACGGUACCUGAGGAAUAAGCCACGGCUAACUACGUGACAGCAGCCGCGGUAAUACGUAGGUGGCAAGCGUUAUCCGGAUUUACUGGGUGUAAAGGGCGUGUAGGCGGGACUGCAAGUCAGAUGUGACAACGACGGGCUCAACCUGUGGCCUGCAUUUGAAACUGUAGUUCUUGAGUACUGGAGAGGCAGGCGGAAGUCCUAGUGUAGCGGUGAAAUGCGUAGAUAUUAGGAGGAACACCGGUGGCGAAGGCGGUCUGCUGGACAGCAACUGACGCUGAGGCGCGAAAGCGUGGGGAGCAAACAGGAUUAGAUACCCUUGUAGUC
rnacentral:rRNA from 1 species